AGAAUCAACGCUGGCGGCGUGCCUAACACAUGCAAGUCGAACGAGAAAGUGGAGCAAUCCAUGAGUAAAGUGGCGCACGGGUGAGUAACACGUGACUAACCUACCCUUGAGUGGGGAAUAACCUAGGGAAACCUGGGCUAAUACCGCAUAACACCUACGGGUCAAAGGAGCAAUUCGCUUAAGGAGGGGUCGCGGCAGAUUAGCUAGUUGGCGGGUAAUGGCCCACCAAGGCAGUGAUCUGUAUCCGGCCUGAGAGGGCGCACGGACACACUGGAACUGAAACACGGUCCAGACUCCUACGGGAGGCAGCAGUGGGGAAUUUUGCGCAAUGGGGGAAACCCUGACGCAGCAACGCCGCGUGGAGGAUGAAGUCCCUUGGGACGUAAACUCCUUUCGACCGGGAAGAUUAUGACGGUACCGGAAGAAGAAGCCCCGGCUAACUUCGUGCCAGCAGCCGC
rnacentral:rRNA from 1 species